UGUAGAUUGUUCACACCGCUACUGCUGCCUCUUUCCAAAAUCACUACUACACUAUCUCCUUCUUCUUGUUGCUGCUUCAUCUUUGUUUCUUCAAUUUCAGCUUGGGUUUUCACAACAUCAAUUUCACAAAUCUGAGGUUCCCAGAAUUGCCAAAGCAAGUGGAUGAUGGGAAAGGGUUGGCUGAUACGGUGGUGGAUGUAAAUGAUGCUAACAAAAGAGGUUUAUUAAUUUUUGCCGUUAGGGAAGGCAAGACUGACUUGUGCAAGUACUUGGUGGAAGAGUUGAAGACUGAUGUCAAUGAAAAAGAUGCAAGACUGACUUGUGCAAGUACUUGGUGGAAGAGUUGAAGACUGAUGUCAAUGAAAAAGAUGAGCAAGAUAUUUUCUAAACUAAUAAAAUUUGUCUUCAUUCAUCAUUAUAUGUCCACGGCCUAAUUUGAGUACUUGUUUGAAGAAACUGGCUCCUGGAGCUUUUGUCCUGAUUGAAUUUUGGGGGUUUCUAUAUACUUUAAGUCUUUAAAGUUAAGAGGGUAGCAUGCCAACAGGAACAAACUCAUUGUAGUAUCAAAAGUAGGGGUCUGGAGAGGGCAGAGUGUUCAGAGACUCAAACCUUUAAUAGUUUGUAUAUAUUUUGUAUUGAAAACUGUCUUUUUAUAUGAGAAGAUUUUGAUUUCUACUUCUAAUAUAAGAGGUAGAUUCCUGUUGCUUGAACUCCUUAGUCUUCACUUUCGGUGCUGCACCUAUGUCGACACAAUGUCGGUAUAAAAUCCGUACUAGAUUUAGUUAAUUGAUUAUACGUACUUUGACACAAUAUCAACGGACGAAUCUGAAAACUUUGGUUCUCUUUGGGUGGUAGUUUUCCAUUUUACUCCGUAGUCUAGGAAAUCUGCUAUUUGUUAUACUAAGUUGUGUUAAGUCAUCCAGCUACCUUCAUAAAUUUGUUUUGUACCCGUUAAACUUUUAUUUCUUUGCUAGAAUUUGUAGUUUUGGUUGACAAAGACUUAUCAAAUUAUUUUGAACCUUUUUGUUCUCUAAACUGUCUAGCUUCGUGGUGAAAGUAUUUCUUCAUUAAAGUGUUGUUAAAUUUCUCCUUACAGAUUGAGUCUCUAAGGGAUGGUUACUUCUGAAAAAGAUGAAACGCCGUUGUUGUCACCAUAUUAUCCUCUGCCUAAUGAAAAUGAUGCCUUUUAAAAUCGGUGUUUUGUGUCCAGGACAAGGAGUGCAUCCUUGUCAAUGCCAAUGAGCUUUAUGGAUUCAUUUGGAAAUGAUAGUAUCUCUGUAGGCUACAGUGGUUCUUUGAGAAGCGAGAGACAGACUUCAUUGGUUCGCAUGAGUGGGCCAUUAUAUGUUGCUCGCAAUCCUGUGAAUAGCUUUUGGCCUACUCCAGCUACAGCAGUGCAUGAUCCAACUUUGCUAACAACGAAAAAAUAUCCUUCAAUGAUUAUGAACAUCUACUGAAGUCUGGACAACUAGGCAUAUGCAAUGAUCCAUACUGCACAACAUAUCUAACCUACUGCUAUUUGAAAGCACGACAAAAAAAUUCAAUGCCUUCAGAUAUAUUUGAUCAUAAGGACGAAGCAUGCCACAAAAGUCGCAACAAACAAGUCCAAGGGAGCUAAAUAGAGGGCAUGUUUGUGCAAAUUCAUUUCAACAUGAUAUGUUAAGGGAACAACCCGAAGGUGGGAAUUCAGGGCAAGAAGGGGAACUCUGAAUCUACCGUAAAGCUCAAAGGUUCGAACUUUGCU